CUCGUAGGCGGUUCGUCGCGUCCGGUGUGAAAGUCCAUCGCUUAACGGUGGAUCUGCGCCGGGUACGGGCGGGCUGGAGUGCGGUAGGGGAGACUGGAAUUCCCGGUGUAACGGUGGAAUGUGUAGAUAUCGAGAAGAACACCAAUGGCGAAGGCAGGUCUCUGGGCCGUUACUGACGCUGAGGAGCGAAAGCGUGGGGAGCGAACA
rnacentral:rRNA from 1 species